rnacentral:rRNA from 1 species
UACGUAGGGUGCGAGCGUUGUCCGGAAUUAUUGGCGUAAAGAGCUCGUAGGCGGUCCGUCACGUUCGGGUGUGAAAAUCAGGGCUCAACCCUGGACCUGCACCCGAUACGGGCGGACUAGAGUUCGGUAGGGGAGACUGGAAUUCCUGGUGUAGCGGUGAAAUGCGCAGAUAUCAGGAGGAACACCGGUGGCGAAGGCGGGUCUCUGGGCCGAUACUGACGCUGAGGAGCGAAAGCGUGGGGAGCGAACAGG